rnacentral:misc_RNA from 1 species
GAAAUGCGAUAAGUAGUGUGAAUUGCAGAAUUCAGUGAAUCAUCGAAUCUUUGAACGCACAUUGCGCCCCUCGGCAUUCCGUGGGGCAUGCCUGUUCGAGCGUCAUCUAAACCUUCAAGCCCUGCUUGGUGUUGGGUGCCUGUCCCGCCUCCGCGCGCGGACUCAUCUCAAAUCCAUUGGCGGCCCCCGCGUCGGCCACGAGCGCAGCAGAAACGCGAACUCGUGAGCCCGUCCGGGCGGCUCCCAGAAGCUACACCCACCCAGUUUGACCUCGGAUCAGGUAGGGAUACCCGCUGAACUUAAGC